rnacentral:rRNA from 2 species
ACAGAUAGUGAGUUGACCUGGCUCUGUUUACAAUUGCGUAACCAACGUUUCGGCGGAGGGUGAGUAACACGUGGGCAACCUGCCUGUAAGACUGGGAUAACUUCGGGAAACCGAAGCUAAUACCGGAUAGGAUCUUCUCCUUCAUGGGAGAUGAUUGAAAGAUGGUUUCGGCUAUCACUUACAGAUGGGCCCGCGGUGCAUUAGCUAGUUGGUGAGGUAACGGCUCACCAAGGCAACGAUGCAUAGCCGACCUGAGAGGGUGAUCGGCCACACUGGGACUGAGACACGGCCCAGACUCCUACGGGAGGCAGCAGUAGGGAAUCUUCCGCAAUGGACGAAAGUCUGACGGAGCAACGCCGCGUGAGUGAUGAAGGCUUUCGGGUCGUAAAACUCUGUUGUUAGGGAAGAACAAGUACGAGAGUAACUGCUCGUACCUUGACGGUACCUAACCAGAAAGCCACGGCUAACUACGUGCCAGCAGCCGCGGUAAUACGUAGGUGGCAAGCGUUAUCCGGAAUUAUUGGGCGUAAAGCGCGCGCAGGCGGUUUCUUAAGUCUGAUGUGAAAGCCCACGGCUCAACCGUGGAGGGUCAUUGGAAACUGGGGAACUUGAGUGCAGAAGAGAAAAGCGGAAUUCCACGUGUAGCGGUGAAAUGCGUAGAGAUGUGGAGGAACACCAGUGGCGAAGGCGGCUUUUUGGUCUGUAACUGACGCUGAGGCGCGAAAGCGUGGGGAGCAAACAUGAUUAGAUACCCUGGUAGUCCACGCCGUAAACGAUGAGUGCUAAGUGUAGAGGGUUUCCGCCCUUUAGUGCUGCAGCUAACGCAUUAAGCACUCCGCCUGGGGAGUACGGUCGCAGACUGAAACUCAAAGGAAUUGACGGGGGCCCGCACAAUCCGGUGGCAGCAUGUGGUUUAAAUCGAAGG